GAUGAACGCUGGCGGCGUGCCUAAUACAUGCAAGUCGAGCGAACAGAUAAGGAGCUUGCUCCUUUGACGUUAGCGGCGGACGGGUGAGUAACACGUGGGUAACCUACCUAUAAGACUGGGAUAACUUCGGGAAACCGGAGCUAAUACCGGAUAACAUUUGGAACCGCAUGGUUCUAAAGUGAAAGAUGGUUUUGCUAUCACUUAUAGAUGGACCCGCGCCGUAUUAGCUAGUUGGUAAGGUAACGGCUUACCAAGGCGACGAUACGUAGCCGACCUGAGAGGGUGAUCGGCAACACUGGAACUGAGACACGGUCCAGACUCCUACGGGAGGCAGCAGUAGGGAAUCUUCCGCAAUGGGCGAAAGCCUGACGGAGCAACGCCGCGUGAGUGAUGAAGGGUUUCGGAUCGUAAAACUCUGUUAUUAGGGAAGAACAAAUGUGUAAGUAACUGUGCACGUCUUGACGGUACCUAAUCAGAAAGCCACGGCUAACUACGUG
rnacentral:rRNA from 1 species